UAGGGAAUCUUCGGCAAUGGACGAAAGUCUGACCGAGCAACGCCGCGUGAGUGAAGAAGGUUUUCGGAUCGUAAAACUCUGUUGUUAGAGAAGAACAAGGACGUUAGUAACUGAACGUCCCCUGACGGUAUCUAACCAGAAAGCCACGGCUAACUACGUGCAGCAGCCGCGGUAAUACGUAGGUGGCAAGCGUUGUCCGGAUUUAUUGGGCGUAAAGCGAGCGCAGGCGGUUUCUUAAGUCUGAUGUGAAAGCCCCCGGCUCAACCGGGGAGGGUCAUUGGAAACUGGGAGACUUGAGUGCAGAAGAGGAGAGUGGAAUUCCAUGUGUAGCGGUGAAAUGCGUAGAUAUAUGGAGGAACACCAGUGGCGAAGGCGGCUCUCUGGUCUGUAACUGACGCUGAGGCUCGAAAGCGUGGGGAGCAAACAGG
rnacentral:rRNA from 1 species